rnacentral:rRNA from 2 species
GAUGAACGCUCGCUGUGUGCCUAAUACAUGCAUGUUGAACGGGAUGUAGCAAUACAUUCAGUAGCGGAUGGGUGAGUAACACGUACCUAACCUACCUUUAAGACUGGGAUAACUAUUGGAAACAAUAGCUAAUACCGGAUAUAGUUAUUUAUCGCAUGAUGAGUAAUAGAAAGGAGCUUCACAGCUUCACUUAAAAAUGGGGGUGCGGAACAUUAGUUAGUUGGGAGGGUAAUGGCCUACCAAGACGAUGAUGUUUAGCCGGGCCGAGAGGGUGUACGGCCACACUGGGACUGAGAUACGGCCCAGACUCCUACGGGAGGCAGCAGUAAGGAAUUUUCCACAAUGAGCGAAAGCUUGAUGGAGCGACACACCGUGCAGGAAUGAAGUUCUUUCGGGAAUGUAAAACUUGCUGUUAUAAGGGGAAGAAAAAAUAGAAAUAGGAAAUGAUUUUUAUCUUGACGGUACCUUAUUAGAAAGCGACGGCAAACUAUGUGCCAGCAGCUGCGGGAAAUACAUAGGUCGCAAGCGUUAUCCCGGAAUAAUUUGGGCGUAAAAGCGUCCGUAGGUUUUUUGCUAGUCUGGAGUAAAUGCUGAAGCUCAACUUUCAGUCGGCUUUGGAACUGGCAAAUAGAAUUAUAAGAGGUUAGCGGAAUUCCUAGGGAAGCGUGGGAUGCGUAGAUAUAGGGAAGAACACCAAAUAGGCGAAGGCGCUUAACUGGUUAUAUAUUGACACUAAGGGACGAAAGCUGUGGGGGAGCAAAGGG